UUCACUCUUUUUGGUGGACAUGAGCAAACAUUAGUUAUUUACUAAUUCUAAAAUUCUAAGUUUGCUAAUUCUGUAAGGUGUGCUAGUCUUAUUCGUUAGUUUAGUCAAAUAUCUUGAGUUUCAUUAAAAAUUUCAUGCUUUGAGUGAACUAUUUUCCUUAAAAGAGGAGUUGUAUAUUUUGUUUUUGUUUGUACUAGGGUAAGCAACCAUAAAUUAAAGUAUUUGUCUAAUCUCUUUAUUUCAAGAUAUUGAAUUCAAAGCUUAUGCCUCUGUUCUAAUAAAUUGCUUAGUACAAGGCUUUAAGUC